rnacentral:rRNA from 1 species
AGCGGAGGAAAAGAAACCAACUGGGAUUACCUUAGUAACGGCGAGUGAAGCGGUAAAAGCUCAAAUUUGAAAUCUGGUACUUUCAGUGCCCGAGUUGUAAUUUGUAGAAUUUGUCUUUGAUUAGGUCCUUGUCUAUGUUCCUUGGAACAGGACGUCAUAGAGGGUGAGAAUCCCGUUUGGCGAGGAUACCUUUUCUCUGUAAGACUUUUUCGAAGAGUCGAGUUGUUUGGGAAUGCAGCUCAAAGUGGGUGGUAAAUUCCAUCUAAAGCUAAAUAUUGGCGAGAGACCGAUAGCGAACAAGUACAGUGAUGGAAAGAUGAAAAGAACUUUGAAAAGAGAGUGAAAAAGUACGUGAAAUUGUUGAAAGGGAAGGGCAUUUGAUCAGACAUGGUGUUUUUUGCAUGCACUCGCCUCUCGUGGGCUUGGGCCUCUCAAAAAUUUCACUGGGCCAACAUCAAUUCUGGCAGCAGGAUAAAUCAUUAAGAAUGUAGCUACUUCGGUAGUGUUAUAGCUUUUUGGAAUACUGUUAGCCGGGAUUGAGGACUGCGCUUCGGCAAGGAUGUUGGCAUAAUGGUUAAAUGCCGCCCGUCUUGAACCACGGGACCUACAA